rnacentral:rRNA from 1 species
UUUUGUAGCCAUACCUGCAGUUCAGACUAUGUAGUCCUUCUAAAGCUAAGCAGGUUUAGGCCUGUCCAGUACUUGGAUGGGAGACCAACCUGGAAAACUGGGUUGCUGCUGGAA